GCCAUGUGAGGACACAGUGAGAAGAUGGACAUCUGCAAGCCGGGAAGAGAGGCCUCACCAGAAACAGAGUAUGCUGGCACCAGAAUCUUGGACUUGGCCGGUCUCCAAAACAAGUCCUUGGGGAGUCCUGGUUCUGCAUCCUAGUCCAGACAAUUAUGCUGAAGGAUACUCCUGUGUGUGGAGAAGUUAAAUCUAAUGUGGCAAGAGUUUGGAGACUAGGGGCGGAGAUAUCCUCAAGGAGUUCCAUUGGAAUGCUUUGACCCAGAGGGUGCUGGGAGUAUGUAAUGUCUGGUUUUGAGUUUUUCUCUUCUUUUUGAUAUGGUAAUUCUAUAUUAUAAUAUCACAAAGGUUUAAGUAAAAUUUAGCUUUAUGUUACAUUACAUUUUGGGGUUCCUUGUUCUUUGUGGAAUUAAGGAAGAGGCUUGUAUUAGGAUGACCAACUUCUCCUGGUUUGCCUGGGAUUUCCCACUUUUGAACUGAAAAAUAUAAUAUUUCAGGAAAUCGCUCAGACCUGGACAAAUCAAAAUGGUAGGCUACUUUGGCUGGAGUGUACACUUAGGAUUAAUUUGUUGGGAGAGAAGGGUAACAACCUGGACACGGCUAGUUUCAGGUCAGUUAGUGGCAAGCUUCAGAAGAUGUGUACUGUGUCUUUCUUACUGGAAUUUGCAGCUCAGAUAUUAAGCAAAUGUUAAGAAAAAUUAUCAAAACCUUGGAAACAGGCAAAUAAGAUUAUCGGAUAUUCUUUCAGUUUUGUGCUGGGUACUGUCCAGCAGAGGCUACAUGGCAUUAUCUGAUUCUCUAGGGGUUAGUACUUUUCUUUGACUUUCUAUUUAGAAAUGAACAGAAUUUUUUUUGUCUCUGUAAAGGUAGACACUAACGUAUGAAAACUGAUACAAAUGACUCUUUUCUGAUAGUAAUAGAAAUGAAUUUUAUUCAAGAGAUGCAAGUGAUUUCCUGUAAAAAGAGAUGACUCCUGAAAGUUACAGUUUUAAUGCCUGAUAAGAUAUUAACCAAUUAAUAUUAGCAUUAGCCAAUUUAAAUUAGAAUUCUUACUCAACUCUUCUGUCUUUAAGCCACUAUAAAUACUUUGCUUUCCCCAAUUACUUUGGAACCAGCCUCAUGAUCUUGCUGAUACCCUCAUUAAUGUGAUAAAUAAAUAUUUGACCCUACUGA